ACCGCCGCCAUUUCUCUGCUCUGCUUUCUAGCUUCCUUCAAUGGCGGCGACCUGUAAACUGCUCCAAACUCAAUAUCUCUUCAUCUUCAACUUCUAAUUAACCUAAAUGCAAUGGAAACGCUCAGCCACACAACCUCCAUCCUCCCUCUUCAUCUCCCCCCAUACCCCACCAGACCCACCGCUCUCUCCGCCGCUCUCUCCUCCGCCACCAGCCUCCUCCACAUCAAACAAGUCCACGCUCAAAUCCUCCGCUCCAAAUUCGAACGCUCCGAUUCCGAUUCCCUUCUUUUCAAACUGAUUCUUUCCUCUUGUGCUCUCUCGCCCAGCCUCGACUAUGCCCUCUCUGUGUUCGAUCAAAUUCCUGAGCCCAAGACCCGUUUCUGCAACAAGCUUCUGCGUGAAUUAUCUCGAGGUUCUGAGCCGGAGAAUGCGCUUUUUUUAUACGAGAAGAUGAGGGCUGAGGGUCUGAGUUUGGAUAGGUUCUGCUUCCCACCCCUGUUAAAAGCGGCCUCGCGGAAUCUUUCCUUGAGAACUGGGAUGGAGAUUCAUGGACUCGCGUCGAAGCUGGGAUUUGGUUCAGACCCAUUUGUGGAGACGGGAUUGAUUAGAAUGUAUGCUGCCUGUAGAAGGAUAAUGGAAGCCCGGUUGGUGUUUGAUAAAAUGUCUCAGAGGGAUGUCGUCACUUGGAGCAUCAUGAUUGAUGGGUAUUGCAUAAGUGGUUAUUAUGAUCUCGCCUUUCAACUCUUUGAAGAAAUGAAGAGAACAGGCUUGGAACCAGAUGAAAUGAUUCUUUCAACUAUUCUUUCUGCCUGCGCCCGAGCUGGAAAUUUGGAUUUUGGAACAAAAAUACACGAGUUCAUAACUAAGAACAAUAUUGUCAUGGAUCCUCACUUACAAAGUGCUCUCAUCAAGAUGUAUGCAAGUUGUGGCUCCACGGACUUGGCUUGGGAUCUGUAUGAAAAGAUAACCCCUAAGAACAUGGUUAUUUCGACUGCCAUGGUUUCUGGGCUUGCAAAAGGUGGACAGAUUGGUGAUGCUCGCUGUGUGUUUGAUCAAAUGGUGGAGAAGGACUUGAUAUGUUGGAGUGCAAUGAUUUCUGGAUAUACUGAGAGUGAUUGCCCUCAAGAGGCUCUUGUACUGUUCAAGAAAAUGCAACAACUGGGAAUGAAACCUGAUGUAGUCACCAUGUUGAGUGUCAUCUCAGCUUGUGCUCAUCUUGGUGCAUUAGAUCAAGCCAAAUGGAUCCAGAUUUAUGUUGAUAAAAAUGGGUUCGGCAAGGCAUUGUCUAUCAAUAAUGCACUCAUUGAUAUGUAUGCCAAAUGUGGGAGUCUAGAAGGAGCGAGAGAAAUCUUUGGAAAGAUGCCAAAGAAAAAUGUUAUAUCUUGGACGAGUAUGAUUAAUGCUCUUGCAAUGCAUGGAGAUGCUCAUAAUGCCUUAAGUCUAUUUCAUCAAAUGAAAGUUGAAAACGUUGAGCCUAAUUGGAUCACAUUUGUGGGGUUGCUUUAUGCUUGUAGCCAUGGAGGUCUAGUUGAGGAGGGCCAAAGAAUAUUCCACUCGAUGAUCAAUGAGUAUGGCAUAAGUCCCAAGCACGAGCAUUUUGGUUGUAUGGUUGACCUCUUUGGCCGUGCAAAAUUGCUGAGAGAAGCUCUUGAGGUGGUAGAAGCAAUGCCAUUUGCUCCUAAUGCUAUUAUUUGGGGAUCCCUUAUGGCUGCUUGUCAGCUCCACGGUGACACUGAGUUGGGAGAAUUUGCUGCUAAACAAGUUCUCAAGCUCGAGCCAGAUCACGAUGGCGCCCUUGUUGUCUUAUCGAACUUAUAUGCUAAAGAAAGAAGAUGGGAAGACGCUGGGGAUGUUAGAAAACUUAUGAACGAGAUGGGCGUUUCGAAAGAGAGAGGAUGCAGUAGAAUUGAAUUGAACAAUGAGGUGCAUGAAUUUCAAAUGGCAGAUAGAAAACACAAGCAAGCUGAUCUAAUAUAUCAAAAGUUAAAUGAGGUAGUUCAAACGUUGAAGCUGGCUGGUUAUACACCACAGAUCAACUGUGUGCUCGUUGAUUUAGACGAAGAGGAAAAGAAGGAAUUAGUCCUCUGGCACAGUGAGAAACUGGCAUUGUGCUAUGCCCUUAUGAAUGAAGGGUCACGCAUUUGCAUUAUAAAGAACCUUCGGAUUUGUGAGGAUUGUCAUGCUUUUAUGAAACUAGCCUCAAAGGUGUAUGCCAGAGAGAUUGUCGUUCGGGACAGAACUCGGUUUCACCAUUACAGAGACGGUUCGUGUUCUUGUAAAGACUACUGGUGACCAAUUCUUGUUACUUUUACAGGACGGUUCGUGUUCUUGUAAAGACGAUAGUAUCAACUAACAUCUUGAUCCUAGAGACAUGACAUAGGAAAGGAAAUAAAGCAAUUUAGCUUCCACCAAAAAAGGAGGAAGAGAGAAAGGAAACUAAAAUUUUAAGACUCCAUUCUCCUCAUGUUGGAGUCUUAAAAUCAUGUGUAGUUCUAGUCUGAUGAAACAUGGUUUCAACAUCCAAAAACAACAUCCAAAGCUUGUUCUUCAGUCUUCUUAUGACUUUUGACAUCCAAUGUUUGAAGAAAUCUGCAGCCAUUGUAUUCAAGUUCGAGUUCUCUAACAAUGAGCUCAGUCGAUACUCGAGAACCGAUGUACGAGGAUCGAUUUGCACAGGUGUGGCUCCCCAUCCUUUCUGAACCCAAGAAGUGUUCGCCUCUCGAACCACCAAAUCGAUCCCUCCAUCAGACCACUAGGAAACAGAAAGACCAAAUCAUUCAGUAGAUCGUGAUCGACCGAUGCGAAAAUCUGGUACGAUACAGUCCAGCAGUCUGUAGAGGCCAUCCCCAUAAGCUCACUGCCCCUACGGCUGAUUUGUACAUUGUGCACCUUGAACUUAAGAGCAUUCCCUCCUACAUUGGAAGCAUAAUGUUAAGAACACAACUGAAAAUAAACCCAAAAGAGAGACGAUUAUAAGUUGAAA